rnacentral:lncRNA from 1 species
GCUUCCCAAAACAAACAAGAAAAACCCAUCAAUGUCCUUUCCUUCGUCCUCUCAACCUCAAACCCAAAACCCUCAACCCAUCUUACCUAGCAACCCUGGCUCUCUCAACUCCAUACCCAUAUCCACCUCUGGUAUUCUCCCUAAACCUCUACCCUUAACCUUGCACACCAUAUACCUAGAAAAUUUCCCAACCUCGUGUGACGAUGCCUUCCUGCUGAAGAUAAAAUCCAAUUAUGUGAAGAUUUCAGACGUUUAUGUGGCAAGAAAGCUCAACAAGAAAGGUAAGUGUUUCGCUUUCUUGUGGGUCUUCUCAAUCUCUGAUAUGCUUUUCCUUCUCAAAACUUUGAAUCUCCUUUGGAUCGGUACAUACAAAUUAAAAGCUUUCAAGUCAAGGUUUAUGAAAAAUCACAAUGGCAGAAAUCAAAAUCAGCUUUCUCACCAAAGCUUGUGCAAGACUAGGCUGCUUCAAAACUUGAGAAACAUUUGCAUUUUCAUUAUCCCCAAGUCCCGUUCCUGUAAAAAGAAACCUAAAUCAACAGCUCCUUUUGAUAUAUGCCCAUGGUAUAGAUGAUGUGAACCAAAAAUAUACCUCGUGUGGAUGUUACCAGAUUCUAGAAAAGUUGAAAGCUUCAAACGAAGAAUGGCUUGCUCGAUCAGUGGCAACUAUUAUCGAUCCUGACCUCAUACACACUUUGCAUGCUUCCUUCACUCGAGAAGGAGUCUUCUCUAUUGCAGAUCAUGGAGGCUUUCCUUAGCAAAUUCAAAGAAAUCAGUUUGGGUCCAGCUUUAUGAAACUCCUUUACAUGUCUGGUCUCCUCAUUUUUUGAAUGAUUAGGGAAGAAAUUAGGAGCUUUUGUGGAUUGCGCCAGAGUUAAUGUUAUCACUGAUAGCUUUGAUCAUAUAAAUAAAACAUUGGCUGUAGAAAUUGGUAAUUCCAGAUUUCAUAUUGUAGCUUUUGAAGAAAUUAGUGAAUCUUCUUCUCUGGUUACUUGUUGUAAAUUGUUCAAUCGGAAAGCUCCUAACUUUAGUUCAGA